rnacentral:rRNA from 1 species
UUGGUUGAAUCCUGCCAGUAGUCAUAUGCUUGUCUCAAAAGAUUUAAGCCGAUGGCAUGUGUAAUUAUGGAACAAAAUUCAGACUGUGAAAACUGCGAAUGGCUCAUUAUUGGUUAAAUCAGUUAUAUUUGUUUGAUGUAUCUGGCUACUCGGAUUAACCGUAAGAAUUCUAGAGCUAAUGACGUGCAACAAACCCCGACCUUCUGGAAGGGAUCCAUUUAUUAGAUAACGAAGUCGGACGCGGCUCUGCCCGUUGCUGCGAUGGAUUUCAUGAUAACUCGGACGGAAUCGCACGGCCUUUCGGCCGGCGAACGCAUCAUUCAAAUUUCUGCCCUAUCAACCUUUCGAUGGGUAGGAUUAAAGUGGCCUCUAUUGGUGGGUGACGGGUGACGGAGAAUUAGGUUCGCAUUCCGGAGAGGGGAGCCUGAGAACGGCUACCACAUCCAAGGGAAGGCAGCAGGCGCGCAAAUUACCCAAAAUCCUGACACGGUUACGGUAGUGACAAUAAAAAAAAAAAAUUAAAUAAACAGAUACGGGCUCAAUCGAGUCCUGGUAAUUGGAAUGAGUACAAUCUAAAUCCUUAACGAGGGGCAUCCAUUUGGAGGGCAAGUCUGGUGCAGCAGCCGCGGUAAUUCCAAGCUCCAAUAGCGUUAUAUUUAAGUGUUGCAGUUUAAAAACUCGUAGUGGACUUUGGGUUGGGUCGGCCGGUCCGCCUUUCGGUGCUGCACCGGUUCACUGGUCCCUUCUGUCGGCGAUCGCUCCUGGCCUUAAUGGCUGGGUCUGCCUCCUUUGCGCUGUUACUUUGAAGAAAUUAGAGUUUGCUCAAAAAGCAAGCCUGACGCUGCUGUCAUACAUUACCAUGGGACUAACGAUCAUUAGGAAGUUGUCGUCUUAUUACGUUGCCUUCGGGAUCGGCAGUAAAUGAUGUAACAGGGACAGUCGUGGGGCAUUCGUAUUUCAUAGUCAGAGGUGAAAUUCUUUGGAUUUAUUGAAAGACGAACAAGCUUGCGAAAAGCAUUUGCAAGGAUGUUUUCAAUUAAUCAAGAGACGAAAAGUUGGGCGGGCUCGAAGGACGAUCAGAUUACCGUUCCUAAGUCUCAACCGAUAAAACGAUCCGACCAGGGAUCAGCGGAUGUUGCUUAUAGGACUGCCCGGCUGGCACCUGGUAUGAGAAAUCAAAGUUUUUUGGGUUCCGUGGGGGAGUAUGGGUCGAAGGCUGAAACUUAAAGGAAUUGACGGAAGGCACCACCAGAGUGGAGCCUGCGGCUAGAUUUGAACUCAAACACGGGAAACGUUACCACGUCAGACAUUAGUCAAGAUUGACAGACUGAGAGCUCUUUCUGAUUCUAGGGUGGUGGGCGAUGGCCGUUCUUAGGUUGGUGGAGCGAUUUGUGUCUUGGUAUUCCUUACCCGGAACGAGACCUCAGCCUGCUAACUAGCAUGUUGGAGGUGUAUCCCUCCACGGCCAGCUUCUUUAGAGGGUACUAUGCCUUUUAGGCACGGGAAGUUGAGGCAAUUAAACAGGUCUGUGAUGCCCUUAGAUGUCUUGGGCCGCACUCCGCGCUACACUGAUGUAUUCAACGAGUAUAUAGCACAAUUGGACCGACAGGCCCGUGAAUCCUUUUUGAAAUUUCAUCGUGAUGGGGUAGAUCAAUUGCAAUGUGGUCUUAAACGAGGAAUUCCUAGUAAGCGGCGAGCAUCAGUCGCGUUGAUACGUUCCCUGCCCUUUGUACACCCGCAUCCCGGUGUACCACCCGAUUGAAUAGUCGGUUGAAGUGUUAGGAUCGCGAGAGCGAAAGCUGGCGGGUUCGCUGCCUGCGAGCGGUCGCAAGAGAAUUCCACUUGAACCUUAUCAUUUAGGAGGAAGGAAGAAUCGUAAGCAAGGUUUUCCGCUAGGUGAACCUGCGGGAA